AAUGCAUUCAUUUACAAUAAAUUAAUUUGAGUUCAUGUUGUAAUUAAGUAAGUUCAGUAUGUUACAUGUCUUAACUCAGCAUUAGUUUAUAUUUACUUAUAUUUAAGUAAGAAUUCAUUUAGGUAUACGUUCAAUGUUUCCAAUGAUGAGCAGUUAAUCCACUAAACCCAAAGAUAAUUCCUGAGGCAUGUUUAAAGAGUUCGUAUUUCAUCAAGUAAGUGCUGAUUCACAAAGAUUUUAUAUUUAAGAAAAUCUGAGCAUCAUUCAAAAUAACUGUUAACAUGUUUGUCAACUAAACAUGUUUUGUCAACGUUAUAAACUUUAUAGAUAUAUUUUUUAUUUUUUAUUAAUGACCAAGUAUAAAGAACAAUGCAUAGUGUGAAAACGCGGAUUAUAUAAAAGUAUAUAAUAAAGUGCGAGCAGACAGCAGAGGAUCAAUCAAACUUGGGCUGGAAUGAUUGUAGUGCAUCCAAUCUUGGAAAUCGUAGUUUACAUCUACAGCAGCAUAUGCUACAGCAGUGACAACGCCAAAGAAAAGGACUACAUUUCCCAGAAUGCACCUGCACCCACUCAUCUGCCCCACCCUUCAGGUGCGACUGCUUGACCUAUGGGCUCGACGGGAAAAUUCAAAAUCGCGAACCGUUACAGCCUGCCUGGAGUACUCUUUGUUUGCUUGCACAUCAACAGUUAAGAGGUCAUGUACACUGUGGUCAACUUUGUGGACGCUGAAGAGGUUUCUGGGUAAAGAUGAUAGAAAUAUAAUGAAGUAACAGUGGAAGCUAAAACAUCAGACUGAUCUAGACACUGAAGAAAUUGAUGUCACUGCAAUCUGGCCAAAAUGAUACAACUAUAUUGAAGUAGCCUACUGUAAUGAAGCUGCAGAACGUCACAGAGACUCUGAGGACAUCAACACAGAAAAUCUAGGCUCCAAAGAGAUGUCUGUCCAGAUGAGGGUGCAUCAACGUUACCUUUGCUGACAAGUAUAUGCUUUACAAUGUAAAACCUAACAGUUAACUUAACUCAAACCAUUUAAGGAAAUCUGUUGCCUUAAACCAUUAAGUUUUAAAAAGAUACAUUUGAGUACUGUGAACUUAAGUCUUGUGCAAUCUUGAACUUAUAUUUAGGUAGUGUGAACUUAAAUAUAAGUGCUUAACUGCAUGUGACUCAGUUUGAGGCUGUUUACACUUGGCAUUAACAUGUGUUUUCGUCGAUCGGAUCACAAGUGGACGACGUUAAUGCCAGGUGUAAACGGUGUUCAAAACGUUUUGAGCUCGUCCACUUUCGAUCACUUUCAACCACAUCCAGAGGUGGUCGAAACCACUUUCGAUCGGAUCGCUUUGGAGUUGCGGAACGCACAUGUGGUUGAAUGCGUUCGAACAGCCACAAGCGACCGCCUUCUCUCCGCCCAUUUAUCUAAUCUGAGGUAUUAAACACAAGUUUUACGUCUUUUUUGACUUCUGGCGUGAACAUUCGGUGAACAGCGCUAUUUUUAGCCUUUCAUUGAUAAAACUAAGCGGCUGAUCUCCGUAGUUUCGUUUUGAAAGCGUGUGAAAGUUGCGCGAUCCUAUUUCAUCAAUUGCGCUGAAGAUUCAAAGAAAGCUCUUACAUACUCAUGUACAAAACACUGUGCAGCAUGUUUACUUGCUAAACAAGCAGUGCACUCCGACAUUAUAUUAUUUUGCGUCCAUAUAAACUCAUAAUUACUCCCACUCGGGUUUGAUUGACAGCAGAGAGACUCGCCCACCGUCUCACAGACCACCCCCUCAUAGUAUUCAGCACAGAAGCGGUCGAAAGUGGACAAAAGAGACGGAUUUAAAUACCAGGUGUAAACGUAAUGUGUCUCUCUCGUCCACUUGUGAUCCGAUCGAUGAAAACACAUCUUAAUACCAAGUGUAAACAGCCCCUUUGUUUAAGUUCACAGUACUCAAAUCUAUGUGUUUUAAAACUUGAAUGGUUUAAUGCAACCGGUUUUCUUAAAUGUGAGAAAUUACAGUGUUACAGUGAGAAAUGUUUGAAUAAUUCCAAGACAGAGCUCUGUGAUUGAUUCUACAC